AAAUACUGGGUGAGUCGUAACAGGUAGCCUAGGGAACCUGGGCUGAUCACCUCCUAUACGAUGAUUAUCGUGAUGAGUACCCACACAGNUGAUACGGUUUAUACAGUAAAGAGAGCAUGGGCGUUUCUACACGUUCAAUUUUUUUUCUCGUUAUAAAAACGAAGAAAACACGUUGUCCCGUUCGUCUAGAGGCCUAGGACACCGCCCUUUCACGGCGGUAACAGGGGUUCGACUCCCCUACGGGAUACCAUCUGACUAAGCGUACACGGUGGGUCGUUAGCUCAGUUGGUAGAGCAGUUGACUUUUAAUCAAUUGGUCGCAGGUUCGAAUCCUGCACGACCCACCAUUUCCUGCCACAGGAAAUCAAAAUAUAUGUGGGCGAUUAGCUCAGUUGGGAGAGCACCUGCCUUACAAGCAGGGGGUCACUGGUUCGAGCCCGGUAUCGCCCACCAUUCUCUAAGUAUUUUUGGAUAAUCUUUCCAAACCACUUCAUUAAAACGUAUGUGGUUGGAAUUUUUGACGCCUA
rnacentral:tRNA from 1 species